rnacentral:rRNA from 1 species
CAGGACGAACGCUGGCGGCGUGCUUAACACAUGCAAGUCGAACGGAGUGCCCCAGACAGAGGUUUCGGCCAAUGGAAGGGAACACUUAGUGGCGGACUGGUGAGUAACGCGUGAGGAACCUGCCUUUCAGAGGGGGACAACAGUUGGAAACGACUGCUAAUACCGCAUGACGCAUACGGAUCGCAUGGUCUGUAUGCCAAAGAUUUAUCGCUGAAAGAUGGCCUCGCGUCUGAUUAGCUAGUUGGUGGGGUAAUGGCCCACCAAGGCGACGAUCAGUAGCCGGACUGAGAGGUUGACCGGCCACAUUGGGACUGAGAUACGGCCCAGACUCCUAUGGGAGGCAGCAGUGGGGAAUAUUGGGCAAUGGACGCAAAGUCUGACCCAGCAACGCCGCGUGAAGGAAGAAGGCUUUCGGGUUGUAAACUUCUUUUGUCAGGGAAGAGCAGAAGACGGUACCUGACGAAUAAGCCACGGCUAACUACGUGCCAGCCGCUGC